rnacentral:rRNA from 1 species
UACAGAGGGGGCAAGCGUUGUUCGGAAUUACUGGGCGUAAAGGGCGCGUAGGUGGCCUUCUAAGUUGGACGUGAAAUCCCUGGGCUCAACCCAGGAACUGCGUCCAAGACUGGGAGGCUUGAAUCCGGGAGAGGGAUGCGGAAUUCCAGGUGUAGCGGUGAAAUGCGUAGAUAUCUGGAGGAACACCGGUGGCGAAGGCGGCAUCCUGGACCGAGAUUGACGCUGAACAGCGAAAGCUAGGGGAGCAAACGGG